CGGGGCGUAGCGCAGCUUGGUAGCGCGCACGGUUCGGGACCGUGAGGUCGGAGGUUCGAAUCCUCUCUCCCCGA
rnacentral:tRNA from 1 species